rnacentral:lncRNA from 1 species
UACAUUGGUGCUACUUAAAGCUGAACUGACACUACAUUGCACACACUUUAGUGAUACCCAAGUUGAAAUAACUACAAAAAUGAUCCAGGAUUUUAAGAUUAGGCCAUUGAAUGUCAUAGCUUAAGAGGACAAUAUAGUUUAGCACUCUAGUUGGGUUUUUUUUUUUUUAAGAGAAGUGCCUGGUCGUUCAUGUGAUAUAUAGAUUCCAUUAAGUCUAAUAUAGAACACUUGAUGAAUUGCUUUGCACUAGCAUUUGACAAAUUCAGUCCACAGUGUGUUCCUUUUUUUUGUUCUUUUGUUAUAUUACCUUCAUGGUUUCAAGCAUAACUGUUUACACUUUUCUUACCCUUAUUUCAUUAUGAUGGAUGUUAGCUUUUGCACGAGACAUACAAAGAGGGUUGGGAUGCUGACUGGUUGGUUUGAAUGUUGAAUAUAGGGUUUUGGGUUUUUGGUUCUGUGUUUCAGAUUCGAUGCUUCAUUUUGGGAAAAAUGGAAGGUCGUGAAUGUUCAGUUGUACAUAGAGCCAGAAAUAGAAUUUAUAAGCUUUGGUUUUUGAGGCCUAAAAACUCAUUUUAGUUUUCUUCUCUAGCCAGAGGAUAUGGACUUUCAGUUUUUCAAGUGCUUGGCUUCUGCUUCUUUAUUAAAGAUUCUCGAAGUCAGGCCAAAGAGCAUAUUUCCACAAGCAGCCUAGCUGAACUAAUUAAUGAUUUAUAAGCAUCAAACUUUCAGUACUGGUUCUCUAAUUGCUUCAUGAAAUGCAUGUUAUGUUCUAAUCAUAGAAGAAGCUCAUAAUCAUGGGUUGUUGGUUAGAACUCUCUUGAAUUAGCUGUUCAUCAUUUAUAAAUUGAUUCCCUUCUAGAAACUGUUUUAGUGGAAAUAUAUCAUUCCUGGGGCCAAUGGACCUUCGUCUUGUCAAAUUUCACGGAUCUCCUUGUACUUAUUUGCAUUGUGGAGAAAAAUUAAUUGCUUUUGGUUUUUUUUCUUUUCUUCCCCUGAGAAAAUUAGAUGCCAAAUCUACUUCUGUUCUCACUUUUUCUUAUUUUCACUU